rnacentral:snoRNA from 1 species
CUGCAGCCCAAAGACCAGGUUCUUUUCCUCACAGAGCCCUGUGUGCAAUGAUUGCAACAAGCAGCCUCCUUGGAGGUGUGCGGCCUGUACCUUGUUUGGGUUCCCCUGACAGGCCUUCAAGAUAUGU